rnacentral:misc_RNA from 1 species
AGCAUUACCACAAAAUCGAUCACCGGAAUCUCUCCAACCGAUUCUCUCCCCGAAAUAUUUUCCAAGAUAGUGACGCUCGUUUUUACCAUUUUAGACACAUUAAACGCCCAAAACUCGAAACAAAUAACAUCCGAUGUGGUGGAGAUCAGCCUCUUUCAUUCUCGACAAACAACAAAACGACACCGCACAAACCAUACCUGACACCCUAACUCUCUCUUCUCCGCCUCUCUCCAUGGCCGAUACUCUCCAAAACCCUAACCCUAAUAACAUUUCCGCUUAUUAUCAGACUCGUGCGGCCCACCAUGGCGUCGUCACUAGCGACUGGCUUGCCCAGGCGCAGGCUGCUGUUGGCCGCCAUCCUGAUGAUGUCUUGCCGCCGGAACCUGAAGUAAAAGUCGCUGGAAAGCCGUUUAGUGUCAUCCAUGAGUUCAAUAACUGGAGGAACCAACCGGACUUAGCGGAGGCUGUUGCUGCGAUUAGGGCGCUUGCGGCUGUAAUUAGGAACAGUGAGGCGACUACCAUGAUGGAGCUUGAAAUCGAGCUCAAGAAGGCAUCGGAUUCGCUCAAAUCUUGGGACACAACCUCUAUCUCUCUUACAGCAGGAUGUGAUCUGUUUAUGCGGUAUGUAACCAGAACUUCUGCCUUGGAAUAUGAGGACUUCAAUUCGGCUAAAUCUCGCUUGAUUGAACGUGCAGAGAAGUUUGGAGAGAUAUCUUAUAAGGCACGCAGAAUCAUUGCAAUGCUUAGUCAAGAUUUUAUUUUUGAUGGCUGCACUAUUUUGGUGCAUGGGUUCUCCAGAGUUGUGUUGGAAGUCCUGAAGACAGCAGCUCAGAAUAAGAAACUGUUUCGAGUUUUCUGCACAGAGGGAAGGCCUGAUAGAACAGGAUUAAGGUUGUCCAACGAGUUGGCCAAGCUUGAUGUUCCUGUGAAACUCCUAAUAGACUCUGCUGUGGCAUAUUCUAUGGAUGAAGUGGACAUGGUAUUUGUUGGAGCAGAUGGAGUUGUUGAAAGUGGAGGUAUAAUCAACAUGAUGGGAACGUACCAAAUUGCACUGGUGGCUCAUAGCAUGGACAAACCUGUAUAUGUAGCUGCUGAAAGCUAUAAGUUUGCUCGUCUUUAUCCCUUAGAUCAGAAAGACAUGGCUCCUGCUUUACGGCCCAUUGAUUUUGGGGUACCCAUCCCGUCAAAGGUGGAGGUCGAAACAUCUGCCAGGGAUUAUACUCCUCCUCAAUACCUGACAUUGCUUUUUACUGAUCUUGGUGUACUCACUCCAUCUGUAGUCAGUGAUGAGCUGAUUCAGCUAUACUUAUAGUCAUGUUCUUUUUUUUUUUUUUUU